GCAUGACAUGCAAAUACUGUAGCAAGACUGAAAGCGAUAACAACAGUAGCAUUCAUUACGUAUGAUGUCAGAUAUUGCAAACCAAGAAUGAUGGCAUGCCCUGGAUUAGUAUCAACUGGAAGUUUAUAAGUUGGAAAUGAUACUAUAUUGCAAAGAAAUACGGAACAAAUCAGCUGAAAUGUCCUUAAUGCAUUUACGGAUGUGCUAUUUAUGCGAGAUAAAAAUAUAAUAUUUAAUUGGAAAAUCUAAGCGGAUCAUUUUGAUCUUCGAAUCGAAAUCUUCUAUUUUAUCGAGGAAAAUGUAUAAAAUACAGAUAUUAUUAGGAGGAGACUUAAAUUAUGUAAGUAUAUUAUAUAAAUAAAAAAUAGAAAAAAUUUGUUAAAGAUUUAUUUAAAUGCAAAAAUAUAUAGAAAUGCAUUAUAAAUUAUAUUAUAA